CUGAGCAACCGUCGGUGGGAUUUCAAAAUGUCAUUGUUUGUGCCGGAGCCGUAAAGAGUAGAGUUAGUGUUAAUUUCGUGAUCUUCCGAAUUUCGGUUUUGGGCAAGAGGAAGGCAAACUCUCCAUCGCUCUCUACUUCCAGGCUGUUAUGGCUGCAAUGUACUGGCUGACUUGAAUACUAAAUUCACCACAAGGAUAAUCUACUAACCGCUCAGUUCCACCCGUGGAUGAUAUAAAAUUGAAUACAGCAUGAAAAGUGCUUGUCUCGAACAUCCUUGAAGUUGGGGUGGAGCACUGAUGCAAUAAGUUUCGUUCGCACUCUAAAUAAUAUCACAGAAGUAAAACUUUGUUACCGCAGGGCAUAAAAAUCCCUGCUUUAAUGCAAUCAGCUUCAGUUUCCAGUUGAUAGUGGGUUCAGCAUCUUGUGCGGUAUCCACCAGUGAACUAAUUCAUAUAUAGAAGGUGCUGAACUUUAGCUGGAGGAAACAUGACUUCCAACUUCCAGGGUUAACACUUGGUGCUGAAAUGCAUGUGUUUGGCAAGAGAUCAGGGUCAAACUACUCCAAUGCAAUUUCGUCGCGGUCAAGGGGAAAGUAAACGAUAUCAUAGAUGAUAAUUUGUUAACAAACGACAGUGAUCUUUGAUGGUAUCACUACAUAUAUACCACACACAAAUCCACACAGCAACUGAAGUGGAAGGAUAAGGU